rnacentral:rRNA from 1 species
UACGUAGGGUCCGAGCGUUGUCCGGAAUUACUGGGCGUAAAGAGCUCGUAGGUGGUUUGUCGCGUUGUUCGUGAAAACUCACAGCUUAACUGUGGGCGUGCGGGCGAUACGGGCAGACUGGAGUACUGCAGGGGAGACUGGAAUUCCUGGUGUAGCGGUGGAAUGCGCAGAUAUCAGGAGGAACACCGGUGGCGAAGGCGGGUCUCUGGGCGACAACUGACGCUGAGACGCGAAAGCGUGGGGAGCAAACAGG